rnacentral:rRNA from 1 species
UACGAAGGGGGCUAGCGUUGUUCGGAAUUACUGGGCGUAAAGCGCGCGCAGGCGGUCUUCCAAGUCAGUGGUGAAAGCCCGGAGCUCAACUCCGGAACUGCCAUUGAAACUGUAAGACUUGAGGAUGAGAGAGGUGAGUGGAAUUCCCAGUGUAGAGGUGGAAUUCGUAGAUAUUGGGAAGAACACCGGUGGCGAAGGCGGCUCACUGGCUCAUUACUGACGCUCAGGCGCGACAGCGUGGGGAUCAAACAGG